rnacentral:rRNA from 1 species
CCUACGGGUUGCAGCAGUGGGGAAUAUUGGACAAUGGGCGCAAGCCUGAUCCAGCCAUGCCGCGUGAGUGAUGAAGGCCCUAGGGUUGUAAAGCUCUUUCACCGGUGAAGAUAAUGACGGUAACCGGAGAAGAAGCCCCGGCUAACUUCGUGCCAGCAGCCGCGGUAAUACGAAGGGGGCUAGCGUUGUUCGGAUUUACUGGGCGUAAAGCGCACGUAGGCGGACUAUUAAGUCAGGGGUGAAAUCCCGGGGCUCAACCCCGGAACUGCCUUUGAUACUGGUAGUCUUGAGUUCGAGAGAGGUGAGUGGAAUUCCGAGUGUAGAGGUGAAAUUCGUAGAUAUUCGGAGGAACACCAGUGGCGAAGGCGGCUCACUGGCUCGAUACUGACGCUGAGGUGCGAAAGCGUGGGGAGCAAACAGGAUUAGAUACCCGCGUAGUC